CCAUAUCUAUUACACUCAAUAGCAUUAAGUAAAGAUCCGUCAUUAUUGUCAGCUGUAACUUACCCCGAUAUUCAUAGCCUAACUGUCUUGCUCAUAUAUCGGCACAC